rnacentral:rRNA from 1 species
CCUACGGGAGGCAGCAGUGAGGAAUAUUGGUCAAUGGACGAGAGUCUGAACCAGCCAAGUAGCGUGAAGGAUGACUGCCCUAUGGGUUGUAAACUUCUUUUAUAUGGGAAUAAAAUGUUCCACGUGUGUGAUUUUGUAUGUACCAUAUGAAUAAGGAUCGGCUAACUCCGUGCCAGCAGCCGCGGUAAUACGGAGGAUCCGAGCGUUAUCCGGAUUUAUUGGGUUUAAAGGGAGCGUAGGUGGAUUGUUAAGUCAGUUGUGAAAGUUUGCGGCUCAACCGUAAAAUUGCAGUUGAAACUGGCAGGCUUGAGUACAGUAGAGGUGGGCGGAAUUCGUGGUGUAGCGGUGAAAUGCUUAGAUAUCACGAAGAACUCCGAUUGCGAAGGCAGCUCACUGGACUGCAACUGACACUGAGGCUCGAAAGUGUGGGUAUCAAACAGGAUUAGAUACCCCAGUAGUC